UCUGAUAUUGGAGAACCUCAGCAUAAGCAGCAAAACUUUCUAUAUAUGAAGUCUUUUUUUUUUUUUGGUAAAAAAAAUAAAGACGUUUCUAUACAAAGAUAUAAGAUACUUGCAUCUCCUACAUGAAGUUGUAGAAAAAAUUAAUGCAAACGUUAUUAAAAGUCAUUGGCUUUUGUGAGCUGCAACUUACUGUUGGAAAUGACCAGGCUGAGCCUGAGGACGGCGUCAAACAUGUCAUUAGUCAUGAAUCCCUGUGGGGCCCACUUUGAAUGCCUCUCUUAUCUCCCGCUCAUUUCCCUUGACUGUUACUAGCUCAGAUUCUUGUAGAGCGCUUAAGCUUGCAAUAAAUCUGUAUACUCCUUCGAACAGCCGAGGAUUUCCUCGGUGUUUGAGAGUUACUUCAUUUCAUGAAAGCUCACAACAUCUGAUGACAUUUGUAGGUCAGAAAAGACCCCAAAUUACCAGCUGCUACUUAGGAACAGCGUUCCGUGCGCCUUUGGCGUUGAGUCAUGCCGGCCACAUGACCACGGAGACGUCUUCGGACAGCGCUGGCUCUUUGGCUUUGAAACGGAGAUGAGCACCGCCCCCUAGAAUCGGCAACGACUAGCAGUGAAGAAGCUUUUUUGGAUGAGAAGCAAAAUGUCUUCCCCAAGAAAGUCCAGUCGCCUCUUGAAAAAGUACCUUUGGGACAACCGUGACAUGGAUGGCAGAGAAUCUCCAGAGACAUUGAACAGCUCCUCCAACUGCUACCUACUCCGAGCCAUUUUCCAUUACUGAAUCAAAGCCUGGAUGGAAUUUUUAUUAGAAGAAAUAUCACCCAAGAGGAUUAAAAUCUUGCUUCAACAGCUCACUGUCUCAGUUCGGUUCAGAACUUGAGGCUUUUUGGAAGACGUUACAUGUGAGUCGGCUCUCUAAUGCCUCAACCUGGUGCAGUAUUUUCUAUACAUAAUCUCAGACCCUCAGGCUCCUUCUGAAAGUACCAAUUUUAUUGUAAACCAAGGAGGUAACCAUCUUAAUUAUUCUUAAUCCAUUAAAUUCAAAUUAAAUCCUAUCCAUCUGUUUGGUUCUGCUUUGCCCCUUUCUCUUUCCAUGUCUUCUUGGCAGAUGGUGUCUCACUCAAAAGCCAGGUGCCACUUUAAAAAAGGCCACCUUAACAGUAUUUCUGUAAUUUUAAACAAGCAAAAUAUUAAUUAGGAGCUAGUUCCCACUCACCUCAGUCUAGUUUUCAGUGAAGCAGGAACACAAGGUGAGAAGCAAACAUACAACCUUUCUAAUAUUCGUGGGCAAAACCUUUUAAGAACAAAUAAUCAUUAGCGUAGACCCACAUGAGGGCUUAAGACACAAACACUGGAAGAAGCAAUAAAUAGCCAUACAAGGUCUAAAGCUAAGAAGCUAAAAAUGUAUAAAAAUCGAGAAGUUAAAAAUAGUUUGCAAAAAACCCCAAAAGAAUAAAUAUAUAUAAAAAGAAGAUUAUAUUAUAUAAUGUUGGGGGAAUUAGAAGUAGACUAGGGGAGCAUAAAGAAACAACAAUCAUAACAUUACAAUGGGUGGCUCAGGAAUUCUGGGAGUUGAAGACCAGGGGUUGUAAAAAGACCAUAGUUGCCCACACAAGGGUGUGGGUAAGGAUUGUUGUCAUAAAACAUUUUAACAAUUCUGCAAGUGUGUGUUUGUGGGGGUGGGAGGAGAAUGGAAAAUUAGCAUCAUGUAGAACUAUUGUCCGACAGUAGAUAGACACCUAAAUGAAAGUUUGAGUGGAUAAAUGUUAUAUUGUAACUGAAAACAAUAUGAGUUAUGGAAGACGUUUACUUUCAUAUGUCCCUAAAGAUAAAAUAAAGCAUUUUAAGUUCAAUAUUCCCACAGUAUUUUUUUUUAACUUUACAGAAUAUG